AUUGAACGCUGGCGGCAGGCCUAACACAUGCAAGUCGAGCGGAUGAAGGGAGCUUGCUCCUGGAUUCAGCGGCGGGCGGGUGAGUAAUGCCUAGGAAUCUGCCUGGUAGUGGGUGAUAACGUCCUGAAACGGGCGCUAAUACCGCAUACGUCCUGAGGGAGAAAGUGGGGGAUCUUCGGACCUCACGCUAUCAGAUGAGCCUAGGUCGGAUUAGCUAGUUGGUGGGGUAAAGGCCUACCAAGGCGACGAUCCGUAACUGGUCUGAGAGGAUGAUCAGUCACACUGGAACUGAGACACGGUCCAGACUCCUACGGGAGGCAGCAGUGGGGAAUAUUGGACAAUGGGCGAAAGCCUGAUCCAGCCAUGCCGCGUGUGUGAAGAAGGUCUUCGGAUUGUAAAGCACUUUAAGUCGGGAGGAAGGGCAGUAAGUUAAUACCUUGCUGUUUUGACGUUACCAACAGAAUAAGCACCGGCUAACUUCGUG
rnacentral:rRNA from 1 species